AAAUUAGUACUUUAAAGAAAAGGUCAGAUUUGCAAUUUGAAAUUGGUAUUCAUUUACUCUAAUUUG
rnacentral:tRNA from 1 species